rnacentral:rRNA from 1 species
AGAGUUUGAUUCUGGCUCAGGAUGAACGCUGGCGGCGUGCCUAACACAUGCAAGUCGAGCGGGGAUAUUGGAAGAUAUUCGUAUCGGAAGAUAUUCUAGCGGCGGACGGGUGAGUAACACGUGAGCAACCUACCUUUUGCAGGGGAAUAACAGUGGGAAACCACUGCUGAUACCGCAUAACAUCACGAGGGGACAUCCUCUUGUGAUCAAAGGAGAAAUCCGGCAGAAGAUGGGCUCGCGUCCGAUUAGUUAGUUGGCGGGGUAACGGCCCACCAAGACCGCGAUCGGUAGCCGAACUGAGAGGUUGAUCGGCCACAUUGGGACUGAGACACGGCCCAGACUCCUACGGGAGGCAGCAGGUGGGGAAUAGUUGGCAAUGGGGAAACCCUGACCCAGCAACGCCGCGUGAAGGACGAAGGCCUUCGGGUUGUAAACUUCUUUGAUCAGGGACGAAACAAAUGACGGUACCUGAAGAACAAGCCACGGCUAACUACGUGCCAGCAGCGGC